rnacentral:tRNA from 1 species
UCCCUGGUGGCUCAGAGGGUAAAGUGUCUGCCUGCAAUGCAGGAGACCCAGGUUCGAUCACUGGUUUGGGAA